AAAUUGAAGAGUUUGAUCAUGGCUCAGAUUGAACGCUGGCGGCAGGCCUAACACAUGCAAGUCGAACGGUAGCACAGAGAGCUUGCUCUCGGGUGACGAGUGGCGGACGGGUGAGUAAUGUCUGGGAAACUGCCCGAUGGAGGGGGAUAACUACUGGAAACGGUAGCUAAUACCGCAUAACGUCGCAAGACCAAAGUGGGGGACCUUCGGGCCUCACACCAUCGGAUGUGCCCAGAUGGGAUUAGCUAGUAGGUGGGGUAACGGCUCACCUAGGCGACGAUCCCUAGCUGGUCUGAGAGGAUGACCAGCCACACUGGAACUGAGACACGGUCCAGACUCCUACGGGAGGCAGCAGUGGGGAAUAUUGCACAAUGGGCGCAAGCCUGAUGCAGCCAUGCCGCGUGUAUGAAGAAGGCCUUCGGGUUGUAAAGUACUUUCAGCGAGGAGGAAGGCGUUGUGGUUAAUAACCACAGCGAUUGACGUUACUCGCAGAAGAAGCACCGGCUAACUCCGUGCCAGCAGCCGCGGUAAUACGGAGGGUGCAAGCGUUAAUCGGAAUUACUGGGCGUAAAGCGCACGCAGGCGGUUUGUUAAGUCAGAUGUGAAAUCCCCGGGCUCAACCUGGGAACUGCAUUUGAAACUGGCAAGCUUGAGUCUCGUAGAGGGGGGUAGAAUUCCAGGUGUAGCGGUGAAAUGCGUAGAGAUCUGGAGGAAUACCGGUGGCGAAGGCGGCCCCCUGGACAAAGACUGACGCUCAGGUGCGAAAGCGUGGGGAGCAAACAGGAUUAGAUACCCUGGUAGUCCACGCCGUAAACGAUGUCUACUUGGAGGUUGUGCCCUUGAGGCGUGGCUUCCGGAGCUAACGCGUUAAGUAGACCGCCUGGGGAGUACGGCCGCAAGGUUAAAACUCAAAUGAAUUGACGGGGGCCCGCACAAGCGGUGGAGCAUGUGGUUUAAUUCGAUGCAACGCGAAGAACCUUACCUGGUCUUGACAUCCACGGAAGUUUUCAGAGAUGAGAAUGUGCCUUCGGGAACCGUGAGACAGGUGCUGCAUGGCUGUCGUCAGCUCGUGUUGUGAAAUGUUGGGUUAAGUCCCGCAACGAGCGCAACCCUUAUCCCUUGUUGCCAGCGGUUAGGCCGGGAACUCAAAGGAGACUGCCAGUGAUAAACUGGAGGAAGGUGGGGAUGACGUCAAGUCAUCAUGGCCCUUACGACCAGGGCUACACACGUGCUACAAUGGCGCAUACAAAGAGAAGCGACCUCGCGAGAGCAAGCGGACCUCAUAAAGUGCGUCGUAGUCCGGAUUGGAGUCUGCAACUCGACUCCAUGAAGUCGGAAUCGCUAGUAAUCGUGGAUCAGAAUGCCACGGUGAAUACGUUCCCGGGCCUUGUACACACCGCCCGUCACACCAUGGGAGUGGGUUGCAAAAGAAGUAGGUAGCUUAACCUUCGGGAGGGCGCUUACCACUUUGUGAUUCAUGACUGGGGUGAAGUCGUAACAAGGUAACCGUAGGGGAACCUGCGGUUGGAUCACCUCCUUA
rnacentral:rRNA from 1 species